AAGUCGUAACAAGGUUUCCGUAGGUGAACCUGCGGAAGGAUCAUUAGAGGAUGUGCCGCGAGCACUUUUCCCCCUUUCACACCUGUGCAGCCCGUGGUCCUCCGGACCUACAAACCUGUAGUCAUGAACGUAUGUCUAAUAAUCCAAUAAAAAA
rnacentral:misc_RNA from 1 species